rnacentral:piRNA from 1 species
UGGCCAGUAGAUUGCACUGAUGGAGUGC